rnacentral:tRNA from 1 species
GCCCUUAUAGCUUAAUGGUAGAGCUCCGGCCUUGCAAGCCAAAGGCCAGUGGUUCCAACCCCGUCCGGGACA